UACAGAGGAGCCAAGCGUUGUCCGGAUUGACUGGGCGUAAAGCGCACGCAGGCGGACGCGCGCGUGGGGUGUGAAAUCUGGCCGCUUAACGGCCAGGCGCCAUCCCAUACGGCGCGUCUGGAGUGAUGCAGAGGUCGGUGGAAUUGCCGGUGUAGUGGUGAAAUGCGUAGAGAUCGGCAGGAACACCCAGGGGGAAACCAGCCGACUGGGCAUCUACUGACGCUGAGGCACGAAGGCCAGGGGAGCAAACGGG
rnacentral:rRNA from 1 species